rnacentral:rRNA from 1 species
AUUGAACGCUGGCGGCAGGCCUAACACAUGCAAGUCGAACGAGCGGCGGACGGGUGAGUAAUGUCUGGGAAACUGCCCGAUGGAGGGGGAUAACUACUGGAAACGGUGGCUAAUACCGCAUACUAUCGGAUGUGCCCAGAUGGGAUUAGCUAGUAGGUGGGGUAAAGGCUCACCUAGGCGACGAUCCCUAGCUGGUCUGAGAGGAUGACCAGCCACACUGGAACUGAGACACGGCCCAGACUCCUACGGGAGGCAGCAGUGGGGAAUAUUGCACAAUGGGCGCAAGCCUGAUGCAGCCAUGCCGCGUGUAUGAAGAAGGCCUUAGGGUUGUAAAGUACUUUCAGCGAGGAGGCGUUACUCGCAGAAGAAGCACCGGCUAACUCCGUGCCAGCAGCCGCGGUAAUUC